CGCGUAGGUGGUUUGUUAAGUUGGAUGUGAAAGCCCCGGGCUCAACCUGGGAACUGCAUCCAAAAACUGGCAAGCUAGAGCACGGUAGAGGGUGGUGGAAUUUCCUGUGUAGCGGUGAAAUGCGUAGAUAUAGGAAGGAACACCAGUGGCGAAGGCGACCACCUGGACUGAUACUGACACUGAGGUGCGAAAGCGUGGGAAGCAAACA
rnacentral:rRNA from 1 species